GUUCAAACCCCACAUGCCUUUGUUGCUGUGGCCUACUGGAGCAUCCCUCCAAUCUUUCAGAGAUGAUUUUUAUGCUCUUUUGAGGUAGUCUAUUUCAUUCGGUGAGGGGGAGAGGAAGCAAUUCACGUCUAGAUUGCUGCCAUGUUUACCCAGAAGUCAUCAAUCAUGAGUUUUUGAAGACUAUGUCAAGCACAGCCAAGGCUCAGGUUUGAUGAACAGCCCUGAUUCCCUGAACUUCCAACUGAGCUUUUCAGCAUGAGUUUCAUUAGACAGACGUAGAUGGAGCCUGCUGUAACCCAGCUGCAAAUGAGCUUACAAACCAUCCAAACUGGAAACCUUUGAAUGUGAAUAAUUCAGUGAGUUGAUCAAUAAUUCAUGAAGGAGAGAUGGCACUUCCUUAAGAGUUGAGCUUGCUUGGUGAAAUUGCUCUGUCCGCUGAGGUGCCCACACCCCUCAUUGUCACCUUCUUGCUCAAAUCAAACCUUCCUGUUGGGUUUACCAGGUCACUCCAGGGCCCAGCUGCAGCCUCUGCCAGACAGGGGACCAGGAGAACUCUUUUUCACUCAAAACAAGAUGGAUGGCAUUUCUCUUCAUAUCAGGUCACAAUAAAGCUCCUUAAAGUAUCAUUUCCAUUUUAGCGUCCUUCACAUUUCCCUACUGUCUAUGUAAACACAUACUCUCCAUAAAGGCUGUGCAUUUUAAGGUACUUGAAUAAAGCCAUAGAAGAGGAAU
rnacentral:lncRNA from 1 species